GGGACACCAGACCGGUACGAAUAAAAUGCACAUUACUGGGCAAGCCAUUUGUACUACCUAGGACAGAUGAUUUGACUGCAGAACCUCCUCCAGGUAUUUGGAGGGGAGUUUUAGGUUGUGCUAGCUUCACCUGUGAGGCAGAGUUCGAAGAGGUAGCAAUGCGGGCCCCUGCAGCUACAGCAGUAACUUUGACCAUUGAAUCUGAGCUCGUAGUAGGCUUUGGUGCUGGCUUUUGAGGGACUAUCCGAGGUUUUGAAGAUAACGGGUCUUGUUGAUGCUGGGAUUGUGCACCACCAGAUGCCAAGUCGGCAGUAACAGGAAGAGAAGAGUUACUAGAUCCACCACCUGAAUUAGGCCCCACACUAGCGCCAAUUGGCAUAUUUAGAGCAUGGGACAUUGCGUGACGAGCUGCCAACUGAGCCUCUGAAAGCUGUGAGCCAU
rnacentral:misc_RNA from 1 species